rnacentral:rRNA from 1 species
GUGGAUUAGAUACCCUAGUAGUCCACGCCCUAAACGAUGUCUACUAGUUGUUGGAGCAGCAAUGCUUUAGUAACGCAGCUAACGCGUGAAGUAGACCGCCUGGGGAGUACGAUCGCAAGAUUAAAACUCAAAGGAAUUGACGGGGGCCCGCACAAGCGGUGGAUGAUGUGGAUUAAUUCGAUGCAACGCGAAAAACCUUACCUACCCUUGACAUGUAACGAACCUCGCAGAGACGUGAGGGUGCCCGAAAGGGAGCGUUAACACAGGUGCUGCACGGCCGUCGACAACU